CCUACGGGAGGCAGCAGUGAGGAAUAUUGGUCAAUGGACGAGAGUCUGAACCAGCCAAGUAGCGUGAAGGAUGACUGCCCUAUGGGUUGUAAACUUCUUUUAUAUGGGAAUAAAAUGUUCCACGUGUGGGAUUUUGUAUGUACCAUAUGAAUAAGGAUCGGCUAACUCCGUGCCAGCAGCCGCGGUAAUACGGAGGAUCCGAGCGUUAUCCGGAUUUAUUGGGUUUAAAGGGAGCGUAGGUGGAUUGUUAAGUCAGUUGUGAAAGUUUGGGGCUCAACCGUAAAAUUGCAGUUGAUACUGGCAGUCUUGAGGACAGUAGAGGUGGGCGGAAUUCGUGGUGUAGCGGUGAAAUGCUUAGAGAUCACGAAGAACUCCGAUUGCGAAGGCAGUUCACUGGACUGCAACUGACACUGAGGCUCGAAAGUGUGGGUAUCAAACAGGAUUAGAUACCCGGGUAGUC
rnacentral:rRNA from 1 species